GUCAUCAUCUUUGUCUUAUCUUCCUGUGUUUGAAAAUAUGCACAACAUAGCAAGAGGUGAAUAUGGUUUAAAUUUAUCCAUGUCUGUAUUAAGCAUUUUAUUGAUAAUAUAAACUCUGAUAUUCAAUUUUGCACCUCGAUGUGUAUGUAAAUUAUCAAAUACUUGUCAAGAAAAAACAUGGUUAUUAAAAAUUACACAAUAAGCAGA
rnacentral:lncRNA from 1 species